CAAGGAUUUAUUCGAAUAAGUCUUUGGUGGAGGGGGCUGAUGGAACAAAGAAAAGGGUUCCCCCGCUCGCUCGCUCGCCACGAGGCCACGGCGCUCCCUCGCUCGCUCGAGACCAGACGGCGACCAACGACGCGGCGGCACGUCCAGGGCUUGUUUUGGACCUGGCGUGGGUGGAGAGGGCGAAACAGAGAGAGAGAGAGAGGGAGAGAGAGAGUUGGGGUGUUUAAACAAGGGAGGGCACGGACUAGGUCUAGUUAGCUACGCGGCGAGGACAGGGUCGGAGGAGGGGGCGGCCACCGGUACGCACAUAGAGGGGUCGGAGGAAGGGGUGGGUGCCAGCACGCAGGGAGGGAUUUCGGAGGAAGGGGCGAUCGGCGCCGUGCGGCGGGGUCAUAGGAAGGGGUAAGCCGCCGGAGCUCGUGGAGGGGGAGCCGGGAGGCUGCUGGAGCGCGGGCAGGGGUAGGAGGAAGGAAGGCACACCGUGGCGGGGUGGGGGACAGCCGGUAGGUGGUCCGAGGAUAAAGUGCGCACCACCGGCGCGGUUAGAGGGGUCAAGUCGAGGGGGACCGGCGAACCGCGGAGGGGUACCGGCGUACGGGUGGCUCUGGUCUCCUAAACGGCAAGACGUUUUUGCCGUCAAUUGAGCCCAGCAACACACAUCGAUGUACGCUCCUCGUCGGGGAUCGUUGCGCACCACGGCUCGUGCUCGUGGAACCUGGAGGGGACGUGGAAGUGGGCCCCACCGUUCGUACUUCCGUCGGCCACGAUGAAACUGAGAUGCCAGUUCCCACAUGCGUACUCGAACACAAACUACAAAGUCGGCAACAUAGAAGAGUUUUGACCACCACGCACGCGACGAGUAUCACCACUAAUCCUCUGACCCCGUUCCUCGUUUCUGUACGUCUCUGUUGUCAAUUGAAGUCAAUUCAAAAAAUGUAAGCACUUCUAAUGUUUCUACCCUUUUUUCUUGUCAAUUGAAGUUAUUGAAUGAAAAUAAUUUCAAGACAUCAAAAAUUGCGCCAAGUCCAUUGAAGGGUAAAAAACUAACCAAGUCAAUUGAACAAAUCGAAAAUAGCGGUGGUGAUUUAGAUGAUGCUUGCGCUGAACGAACACCACCAGAACCAACUCUUAUUUGUUCACACGUCUCCCACUCUCCCUUUAUUGUUCCAACAUCCUCGAGUACGAUGUACACAAGCUUCGAUGUACCUCUUCACCAAGAAGAGACGGGACCAAAGGAUGGGGCAGAGGACCACACGUGAUACGAGGUAGCUGCCGUCGCGGGCGAGGUACGGCGGGGGCUGACGUCAAUUGAAGCUCGCGUGACACGACGGGCAGGGUUCUAGGGCGAAGUUACUCUGAUGUACCCUCUACCCUCUCCCGGCCACCACGGACGUUUAAGCGACGUGUCAUUAUAUGAUCCACACCUACGUCAAUCGAGCAGGGAGCACAUCAUUCUCGUUUUGUAUCACGCAAAGACGUCAAUAGACAUGAGUUUGAAUUAUUAAUUGAAAAACUCUACACUGUCAAGAAAACGUGAAUAAAUACUUUUUUUAUGUGUAUUUAAUAAAGUCAAUUGAUACGUUAAACAUCGUCAAUAGACUUCGACUACUCUUGGGAACAAGCUACCACUAGCUAGUGGAGGGAGUUCUAACUCACUCCAAUUCGAUCAAUCGGGCUGAGCUAAUUUAACCAAGCUAGGUCGGAUUGUCGAUCACGCAAGUACAACCAAGAUCAUGCAUG
rnacentral:rRNA from 1 species